GCUUACAGCCGUACCACCCUGAGCACACUCAAUCUCGUCUGAUCUCAGAGGUUAAGCAGGGUUGGGCYUGGUUUGUGCUUGGAUGGGAGACCGCCUGAGAAUACCAGGUGCUGUAAGCU
rnacentral:rRNA from 1 species